rnacentral:rRNA from 1 species
GAUGAACGCUGGCGGCGUGCCUAAUACAUGCAAGUCGAGCGAACGGACGAGAAGCUUGCUUCUCUGAUGUUAGCGGCGGACGGGUGAGUAACACGUGGAUAACCUACCUAUAAGACUGGGAUAACUUCGUGAAACCGUAGCUAAUACCGGAUAAUAUUUUGAACCGCAUGGUUCAAAAGUGAAAGACGGUCUUGCUGUCACUUAUAGAUGGAUCCGCUCUGCAUUAGCUAGUUGGUAAGGUAACGGCUUACCAAGGCAACGAUGCAUAGCCGACCUGAGAGGGUGAUCGGCCACACUGGAACUGAGACACGGUCCAGACUCCUACGGGAGGCAGCAGUAGGGAAUCUUCCGCAAUGGGCGAAAGCCUGACGGAGCAACGCCGCGUGAGGGAUGAAGGUCUUCGGAUCGUAAAACUCUGUUAUUAGGGAAGAACAUAUGUGUAAGUUACUGUGCACAUCUUGACGUUACCUAAUCAGAAAGCCACGGCUAACUACGUG